rnacentral:rRNA from 1 species
AGAGUUAAAUAGUACGUGAAAUUGUUGAAAGGGAAACGAUUAAAGUCAGUCAUGUUGGUAGGGAAUCAACUUGAUGGUAUGCGAGUUUCUCGUGUCCUUUCUGGUGCACUUCCUUACUUACAGGUUAGCAUCAAUUUUGGUUAUUAUAUAAAAAUUGAGGGAAGGUGACUUUUCUUCGGAAAAGUGUUAUAGACCUUGAUAAAUGUAGUGACCGGGAUUGAGGUUUGCAGCGGAUACCCUUUCGGGCUAGUCACCUGGCUUCUGAUGGUUACCUCGUCUUCGAUAGCAUGCUAACGUUGAUGAGAUUCGAUCGUCUAGAUGUUGGAGUGAUCAUAAAUUCGCUAAGGAUGCUGACGUAAUGGCUUUAAACGACC